ACACUCAAAAUACAAAUUAGAAUGAACUUGGCCCGAAAAACGAGUAGGUGGGUAAAAUCCUAUUAAGCAGCACCUGGGGCCACACAAUGCCCAGCAGGCGUACCCACCUCUGGUCAAUGCCCGGCUUACCUCCUGUAAGUUAUAUAAUCGUAUGGAGGACUAUAUAACCUAAAAUAUAAUUUCACUUAUUAAUCCCAUUAACGGUUAUGAUAAAAAGACUGCAAAAUAUUAGCCAAUCACGGCACAGCCGGCUCUUAAGGCGCGAGAUGGACGUCAGUAGGGUUUCACGGGCCUCCGGCAAUGACGUUAGGUUCUUACAGAACCGUCUUUUUUUGUUUUGUUUUUUUUGGGGGGGGUUUAUCUCACGUGUAAAUUAAACUCAUAAUAAUUUUCAAAACGAGGAAAUAAAUGACAAUCUUUAGGAAAAAGAAAAAUGAAAGAGAAAUACUCCCCGCACCCUGUUUUUAUCUGUAUAAAUAUUUGUUUCUGAUUUUUAAUAUUAUUUCUUGUGCUCAUAUGUGCUGUUGAGACAGUUACAGUUGUGAAUAUUUUUUUUUAUAUUCGUAAAUUUGCAUUCUGUAGAGUAGUUUUGUCAUUGUUUUUCUUUUUUUUUUUUCCUUUUUGUUUUUCUUUCAUUUUAUUAAGGGGUGUAGCAGAAACUUGCACGACACAAAAAACAUUUACAAGUUAAAUGCUGCAGUUUUUAGAAGAGUGAAGAAAAAUUAAAAAAAGAGCAUAUUUAUUCUCAAAAGCUAAAAAAAAAAAGGUGUAAAAUGCAUGAAGUAAUAUUUACAAAAAACACCAAAAAUAAUAAUAAAAAAAUGUCAAAAAGUUGUAACCUCAACAAAAGUGUAGCGUUUAAAAUUUAAACAAAAAAUAGCUAAUAUAUUGUGUUUUUGGCUGGUUCGCUUUUUUGUUGUUUUGUUUUAAAUGUUUUUUUUUUCUUUCUUUUUUUGACUAUGAAAUACAUUUGUGUAUAUUUUCAUAUAAGAAGUAUGCACUGAUAUGUUUAAAAAAAUGAUAUAUAUUGCUUUUUAAAAGUGUGGUUACUUACCAAAGUCUCUGUCUAUGCUUUCCCUUUCUGAAAUGUUAAUGAGUAAUCUGACCAUUGGGUCUUCGCGAUACCAACCACUUUGACAUAAGGUGGUCCCAACAUAUGCAUGUCCCCCUGGCAACAAAUGGUUCAGUCCACCAUGAACACUCCCAUUCGUUUCAGCCAUUCAUCUCACUGCCAUUGAAGGCACCAAACUGUGGGUGGGGGGUAAAGGGGGGUGAGAGGGACAUGGGUAUUUAGUUGCGGCACGGUCUACACUCAUCGACACAUUUAUUCUCAAAAAAGUACCUGUCCUUGUGUUUUCUACCAGGUGGCAAUAUUACCAUAUUACUGGUCAACUGCCCGGUAAUAGUCUUAAAAUGGCGUUAAUAGGCGAAUCCUUGUCUACAUAGGGGAAGAGGCAGACACCCAACUUGACAAUAGGAGAAGGGAUAUAGCCAUAUUGGUCCAAGAGAAGAUGGAGUCUUUAGUCAAUGAAGAUAUGUUUUAUUGGGCCAACAACAAAAAAUGUAGCUGCAUAAGCUUUGGGGACCUUGGGGGUCUCCUCUUUAGAUGGGAUCAUCUGAAGCCACUUUCUCUUAAGAAGAAGGCCCUGAAAGCAUAUGUGGCUCUACAUCUUUUUCUAUGGUGGCCCAAUAUAGUCACCUACGACAAAAGACUCCAUUUGUGGUCAAGUGAAAGGACCAUAUAGCCUUCUUGACUCAUGAGACAGGCGCGUGAUAUACCACUGGGGCUGUUCUGUUUAAAAUCUUGUGCGUUACGUGAUGGAGCCUUAUGUUCGCGGUGAAAACAUUAGCAUUAUCACCACUUACAAUUCUCCUGUUGUUUGGAUUCGUUCUUUCACAGGUUAGAAAGCCUAGGAAUUACUUUACAUGUCAAGAAUGUACUGAUAAAAGAGUUUAUUCCAUGAGUUGUGGCUUGAAAAGUCUUAUUUCACCGCUGUGACCGUGUAUUAUGCAAAUGUUUUUGGCCGGGUUGGUUCUUCAUAACAAACGGUUAUUACGAUGAAACCAGGUUUUUCAUGACACCCCCGACUAAAAAUCACUAUUUAGUGAGCAAAAGCCAGUUGAUUAAUAGCUACCUACUGGGAGAAGCACAUUGGGAUGAUUUAGUUCAGAUACACUAAUUUUGGGACAAUUUAUAACAAAACAAUAAACAAACUGUUUAAAAAAAAAAAAA